rnacentral:rRNA from 1 species
AUACGAAGGUCCCAAGCGUUAUUCGGAAUCACUGGGCGUAAAGAGUACGUAGGCGGUUUGGUAAGUCAGGUGUGAAAUCCCGGAGCUCAACUCCGGAACUGCAUCCGAUACUGCCAGACUAGAGUAAUGGAGAGGCAGGUGGAAUUCUCGGUGUAGCAGUGAAAUGCGUGGAUAUCGAGAGGAAGACCAAUGGCGAAGGCAGCCUGCUGGACAUUUACUGACGCUGAGGUACGAAGGCUAGGGGAGCGAAAGGGAUUAGAAACCCGGGUAGUCC